rnacentral:rRNA from 1 species
UUUUUGAAAAUAAUUUAAAGUCUAAUCUGCCCACUGAUAUAAUUAUUAAAGGGCUGCAGUAUUUUGACUGUACAAAGGUAGCAUAAUCAUUAGUCUCUUAAUUGGUGACUUGUAUGAAAGAUUGGAUGAGAUAUAAACUGUCUCUAAUUAAUUUAUAUAAUUUAAUUUUUUAGUUAAAGAGCUAAAAUAAAUUUAAAAGACGAGAAGACCCUAUAGAGUUUUAUAAUUUUAUAGGUUAUAAUUAUUAAUAGUUAAAAUUAUAAUUUAUGAAAUUAUUUUGUUGGGGUGAUAGAAAAAUUAAAUUAACUUUUUUUAAUAAUUAACAUUAAUUUAUGAAUAUAUGAUCCAUUUUUAGUGAUUAAAAGAAAAAAUUACCUUAGGGAUAACAGCGUAAUUUUUUUUUUUAGUUCAAAUAGGAAAAAAAGUUUGCGACCUCGAUGUUGGAUUAAGAUAAAAUUUAAAUGCAAAAGUUUAAAAUUUUGAUCUGUUCGAUCAUUAAAAUCUUACAUG